rnacentral:rRNA from 1 species
GCAGCCUGAUCCAGCCAUGCCGCGUGCAGGAUGACGGUCCUAUGGAUUGUAAACUGCUUUUAUACGAGAAGAAACACUCCGACGUGUCGGAGCUUGACGGUAUCGUAAGAAUAAGGAUCGGCUAACUCCGUGCCAGCAGCCGCGGUAAUACGGAGGAUCCAAGCGUUAUCCGGAAUCAUUGGGUUUAAAGGGUCCGUAGGCGGUUUAAUAAGUCAGUGGUGAAAGCCCAUCGCUCAACGGUGGAACGGCCAUUGAUACUGUUAGACUUGAAUUAUUAGGAAGUAACUAGAAUAUGUAGUGUAGCGGUGAAAUGCUUAGAGAUUACAUGGAAUACCAAUUGCGAAGGCAGGUUACUACUAAUGGAUUGACGCUGAUGGACGAAAGCGUGGGUAGCGAACAGGAUUAGAUACCCUGGUAGUCCACGCCGUAAACGAUGGAUACUAGCUGUUGGAAGCAAUUUCAGUGGCUAAGCGAAAGUGAUAAGUAUCCCACCUGGGGAGUACGUUCGCAAGAAUGAAACUCAAAGGAAUUGACGGGGGCCCGCACAAGCGGUGGAGCAUGUGGUUUAAUUCGAUGAUACGCGAGGAACCUUACCAAGGCUUAAAUGUAGAUUGACCGGUUUGGAAACAGAUCUUU